CCAAAGGUUCUUUUCAGAGCCACUGAAGUUUUUUAAGGAGUUGAGA
rfam:Heterocephalus glaber contig168511, whole genome shotgun sequence.